rnacentral:rRNA from 1 species
GGUUAAGCGACUAAGCGUACACGGUGGAUGCCCUGGCAGUCAGAGGCGAUGAAGGACGUGCUAAUCUGCGAUAAGCGUCGGUAAGGUGAUAUGAACCGUUAUAACCGGCGAUUUCCGAAUGGGGAAACCCAGUGUGAUUCGUCACACUAUCAUUAACUGAAUCCAUAGGUUAAUGAGGCGAACCGGGGGAACUGAAACAUCUAAGUACCCCGAGGAAAAGAAAUCAACCGAGAUUCCCCCAGUAGCGGCGAGCGAACGGGGAGCAGCCCAGAGCCUGAAUCAGUGUGUGUGUUAGUGGAAGCGUCUGGAAAGGCGCGCGAUACAGGGUGACAGCCCCGUACACAAAAAUGCACAUGCUGUGAGCUCGAUGAGUAGGGCGGGACACGUGGUAUCCUGUCUGAAUAUGGGGGACCAUCCUCCAAGGCUAAAUACUCCUGACUGACCGAUAGUGAACCAGUACCGUGAGGGAAAGGCGAAAAGAACCCCGGCGAGGGGAGUGAAAAAGAACCUGAAACCGUGUACGUACAAGCAGUGGGAGCCUCUUUAUGGGGUGACUGCGUACCUUUUGUAUAAUGGGUCAGCGACUUAUAUUCUGUAGCAAGGUUAACCGAAUAGGGGAGCCGAAGGGAAACCGAGUCUUAACUGGGCGUUAAGUUGCAGGGUAUAGACCCGAAACCCGGUGAUCUAGCCAUGGGCAGGUUGAAGGUUGGGUAACACUAACUGGAGGACCGAACCGACUAAUGUUGAAAAAUUAGCGGAUGACUUGUGGCUGGGGGUGAAAGGCCAAUCAAACCGGGAGAUAGCUGGUUCUCCCCGAAAGCUAUUUAGGUAGCGCCUCGUGAAUUCAUCUCCGGGGGUAGAGCACUGUUUCGGCAAGGGGGUCAUCCCGACUUACCAACCCGAUGCAAACUGCGAAUACCGGAGAAUGUUAUCACGGGAGACACACGGCGGGUGCUAACGUCCGUCGUGAAGAGGGAAACAACCCAGACCGCCAGCUAAGGUCCCAAAGUCAUGGUUAAGUGGGAAACGAUGUGGGAAGGCCCAGACAGCCAGGAUGUUGGCUUAGAAGCAGCCAUCAUUUAAAGAAAGCGUAAUAGCUCACUGGUCGAGUCGGCCUGCGCGGAAGAUGUAACGGGGCUAAACCAUGCACCGAAGCUGCGGCAGCGACGCUUAUGCGUUGUUGGGUAGGGGAGCGUUCUGUAAGCCUGCGAAGGUGUACUGUGAGGUAUGCUGGAGGUAUCAGAAGUGCGAAUGCUGACAUAAGUAACGAUAAAGCGGGUGAAAAGCCCGCUCGCCGGAAGACCAAGGGUUCCUGUCCAACGUUAAUCGGGGCAGGGUGAGUCGACCCCUAAGGCGAGGCCGAAAGGCGUAGUCGAUGGGAAACAGGUUAAUAUUCCUGUACUUGGUGUUACUGCGAAGGGGGACGGAGAAGGCUAUGUUGGCCGGGCGACGGUUGUCCCGGUUUAAGCGUGUAGGCUGGUUUUCCAGGCAAAUCCGGAAAAUCAAGGCUGAGGCGUGAUGACGAGGCACUACGGUGCUGAAGCAACAAAUGCCCUGCUUCCGGGAAAGCCUCUAAGCAUCAGGUAACAUCAAAUCGUACCCCAAACCGACACAGGUGGUCAGGUAGAGAAUACCAAGGCGCUUGAGAGAACUCGGGUGAAGGAACUAGGCAAAAUGGUGCCGUAACUUCGGGAGAAGGCACGCUGAUACGUAGGUGAAGCGACUUGCUCGUGGAGCUGAAAUCAGUCGAAGAUACCAGCUGGCUGCAACUGUUUAUUAAAAACACAGCACUGUGCAAACACGAAAGUGGACGUAUACGGUGUGACGCCUGCCCGGUGCCGGAAGGUUAAUUGAUGGGGUUAGCGGUAACGCGAAGCUCUUGAUCGAAGCCCCGGUAAACGGCGGCCGUAACUAUAACGGUCCUAAGGUAGCGAAAUUCCUUGUCGGGUAAGUUCCGACCUGCACGAAUGGCGUAAUGAUGGCCAGGCUGUCUCCACCCGAGACUCAGUGAAAUUGAACUCGCUGUGAAGAUGCAGUGUACCCGCGGCAAGACGGAAAGACCCCGUGAACCUUUACUAUAGCUUGACACUGAACAUUGAGCCUUGAUGUGUAGGAUAGGUGGGAGGCUUUGAAGUGUGGACGCCAGUCUGCAUGGAGCCGACCUUGAAAUACCACCCUUUAAUGUUUGAUGUUCUAACGUUGGCCCCUGAUCGGGGUUGCGGACAGUGUCUGGUGGGUAGUUUGACUGGGGCGGUCUCCUCCUAAAGAGUAACGGAGGAGCACGAAGGUUGGCUAAUCCUGGUCGGACAUCAGGAGGUUAGUGCAAUGGCAUAAGCCAGCUUGACUGCGAGCGUGACGGCGCGAGCAGGUGCGAAAGCAGGUCAUAGUGAUCCGGUGGUUCUGAAUGGAAGGGCCAUCGCUCAACGGAUAAAAGGUACUCCGGGGAUAACAGGCUGAUACCGCCCAAGAGUUCAUAUCGACGGCGGUGUUUGGCACCUCGAUGUCGGCUCAUCACAUCCUGGGGCUGAAGUAGGUCCCAAGGGUAUGGCUGUUCGCCAUUUAAAGUGGUACGCGAGCUGGGUUUAGAACGUCGUGAGACAGUUCGGUCCCUAUCUGCCGUGGGCGCUGGAGAACUGAGGGGGCUGCUCCUAGUACGAGAGGACCGGAGUGGACGCAUCACUGGUGUUCGGGUUGUCAUGCCAAUGGCACUGCCCGGUAGCUAAAUGCGGAAGAGAUAAGUGCUGAAAGCAUCUAAGCACGAAACUUGCCCCGAGAUGAGUUCUCCCUGACUCCCUGAGAGUCCUGAAGGAACGUUGAAGACGACGACGUUGAUAGGCCGGGUGUGUAAGCGCAGCGAUGCGUUGAGCUAACCGGUACUAAUGAACCGUGAGGCUUAACCUU